GAGAUUCAUGUCAAGAAUAAAGCUUCUAACUUUUUUUCUAAGCGGUUAAAUUCCGUUUUAAUCUCU
rnacentral:tRNA from 1 species